UAAUAUUGACUCUGUAGCACAUUCUGGACCUUUAUGUAAAAUGAUGCAUUUAAGUUAAAGUCUUCCUUCAUUUCAAAGUUUAUCAAUAUUCAUGUAAGAAAAUCUCUCAUUAUCUGUGUUGUCUAAAAAUUACAAUCAAUCAGAUGGGACAAUAUCCUUUAAGAUAUUAAUAUAUUUUAUGGCACUCCAAAAAGAAAAGUGUAUUAAGUAUAUUUUCCCUGAAGUAUUUGGUUUUGGUAUUGUUCUUGUCCCUGAAAACAUAACUGGGAAAAACUGCUCAUUCUUACAAAUUGAUGUUUCUGUUUCUUUCCCAGAAAAUCAGGUUAGCAUUCGAGGCUAUCUGCUUCCCGCCAUUAGCGAGAAGAGGAAGGGCUGGUAAUAGAGGAAGAAGAAAACAGAGGAGACAGCAUUAGAACUGACUGAAGACCUGGAGGCAAAGCAUCUGUGAUUAGCUAAUACAGGACUGUCUGAGGAAUCUGUUAACAAGAGAAGGACGCUGAGAACCGUGACAGGAAAAGGAAGAAAAGAGGAACAAGGCACCAAAAAGGAAGGCGUGUCCAGAGAAGUAAGGGAUGCACCAUCAUCAUCACCACUACCAUCAGCAGCAGCAGCAGCUAACCAUGUGGAAGAAUAAAGCAAAAAACAUCAUGGAGUCCUACCUCAAGC